GAAAGAUUCAUUUAUUCAUUCAACAAACAGUGGCCGAAGGCUUGUUAUGUGCUGUGCCUGGACUUGGCAUGAAGGCACCAGAUGUCAGAAGCGAGGCUGCUGCCCAGGAGGACACACCUGAUGGGGCUCUGGGACCAGGACGAUGGUGGAGACAUCACAUCCGGAAUAACUUUGUUAGGAAGGUGAACUUGACAGUUAGGACUUAGUUCUCCUUGAAGACGUCCUUCACAUCCCUUUUUCCUGAGCUCGAACUCUACUUUUUGCAACAAGCAGAAUGUACACAUGUUAAACAAGGGCACACAAGCAGGUAACUUGGAGAUUGUGAACGGUGCCGAAAAACACACUCGAGCCAACUCCAAGUUCCAGCGAGGCUAAAUUGGAAGAGGACAGUGAUGUGACUUCUUGGUCAGAAGAAAAACAUGAAGAGAAAAUGCUCUUUACCAGUUAUCCUGAGGACAGAAAGUUAAAAAAGAACAAGAAGAAUUCCCAUGAAGGAGUUUCCUGGUUUGUUCCUGUGGAAAAUGUGGAGUCUAGAUAAAAAGAAGGAAAACAUGCUCAAGACUCAUGACCCUGGCAUCUCCCGGUUGGAACCAGUAACCAAGACCAAGCCGUGGAGGGAGCCACUGUGGGAGCGGAACUGGCAGGGGCAGCACCUGGACAGUCGGGGCUACCUGGCAGGCCCAGGCAGAGAGGAUGGCAGAAACCCACUGAAGCUGUUUGUGAGAGCAACCCUGCAGGAAUCGCUUCAGUUUCACAGACCUGACUUCAUCUCCCACAUUGGGGAGCGGAUAAAGCGUCUGAAGUUAAUAGUCCAGGAGAGAAAGCUGCAGAGCAUGUUAAAGAGCGAGCGGGAUGCGCUAUUCGACAUUGACAGGGAACGGCAGGGCCACCAGAAUCGCAUGCGCCCACUACCCAAGAGAGUCUUCCUGGCUGUCCAGAAGAACAAGCCUAUCAGCAAGAAGGAAAUGAUUCAGAGGUCCAAACGGACACACGCAGGAGGAACAGUAGCACAAAGGCUUCCCGGUGCCUUGUGGGUGAAAGAAAGGCUUCCAGGGAAAGGAGAGAAACACCCAGGGAUCCCGGUGACGUCGGGAAGCAGCACCCAGACCAUGUAAGGACACCGCCUGCAGGGGGAGACUCAAGGCCUGGGAAGGUUUUCUAAUCUGUGCCUUGAGUCGGGUGGGGGGAUUUUCUGGGAAAGGAAAACCAGACACAGUAGGACAAAUAUUGUAUAGUUUCACUUAUAUGAAAUUGUCAGAAUAGGCAAGUUCGUAGAGACAGAAUGUAGAACAGGGCUUUCCGGGGGCUGGAGGAGAAGACAAGGAGUUCUUGCCUAGUGGGUACAGAGUUUCUGUUUGAAAUGAUGAAAAACUUCUGGAAAUAGAUUGUGGUGACAGUUACACACCAUUGUGAACAUAAUUAGUACCACUGAACUGUACACGUUAAAAUGGUUAGUUGUAUGUUUUAUGUAUUUUGCCAUAAUAAAAACUAGGGGGAAAAAAAGGAAGGGGAGAUUGUCUCAGGCUGGCUGACUUUCCCUGCAUGUACGCACAUCUUCACAUGUGCACACAUGUAAAACAAAAAUGAAGCAAAAAAAGAAA
ensembl:lncRNA ALMS1P1 ALMS1 pseudogene 1